rnacentral:misc_RNA from 1 species
AAGAAUUUGCCCCGUCUUCUCGAAGAUGGGUUCUAUUCCAAACCGUGUUUACAUACCUUUGUUGCUUUGGCGGGCCGCCGUUUCGGCGUUGGCUCCGGCUGACUGCGCCUGCCAGAGGACCUAAAACUCAUGUUAAUAAUAUUGUCUGAGUACUAUAUAAUAGUUA